AGGAAUGAGGUGUUAUGAUCUAUCAGUAUAAACUGAGAGAGAAGACUGCCCAAGUUCUGGCCUAUAGACAGAAGACUUCUAACAGUGAAGGACAUGUUUGCUUCCCUUUCCACCAUGAUUGCAAGUUUCCUGAGGCCUCCCUAGCCAUGCUGAACUCACAGUUUUUAAAGUAUCUAGUGUAUAUAAGGACAAGCCAUUCUCAGUCAAGCAUGAAACUGAAUCUGAGGAAAAGAAGAAAGCUGAAAACACACUGAGGAUUAUGGGAGAGGGGCAAGUGCAUGAAGCUUCUCAAUGACAUACAGACACUCUAAAAGCUCAAGAGAUCAAUUAUUCAACUUCAAGAACUGAAAUUUGAACACAGAUUUUGAGCUUCCAAAUCAGGAGAAAAAGAAGUGUUCUAUAAGAAGUUUGGACAAGACUCUGCAAGAAGUUAAGAGGUCCUUAAAGGCAACUGUGAAUUAACGGAGACUAGUUUUGAGAAAAUCAGUCCUGAUUUGUUUCUCCUGGAGUUUUCUUCUUUAUGUGAUCCUUCAUAAAAGCUGCUAAUAUGGGAAAGAUUGAAAUCAGCAAGUUUCUGGCUGUAAGCUAAAAGAGGCUCUUGAAUCAUAUUUCCGCCUGCUUAGCAAAUUUCUCUUGCGACAAUUGGAUGUUAUUUGGGGUUCCAUACUAGCAGGAAGAAGUACAAGCAAAGCUAAGUCAUUUUGAGAAUAAAUAUUAUCUCUCUAUAUAUUUGUAAAUGUUAUUUUCUUUUUUUUUGAGGUUUAUGAUUGAUCCUUGGCAUGUGUCCCCUUGUGUAUUGCUCUACUAAAAAUAGCCUAAAAAAGAAUUUUCCCCUCGAUGUGGAGCUUCUCUUUAGUUACAAUUCUACUUUCUCCUUCACUUGAGUAUCAGUCUUCAGAGAACUACCAUAACAAAGGAGUGGAUACAGAUAUACGCAAAAAAGUCUAUGAGAAAAUUAGUACAUUAAAUUUGUGAAAGCUCAUUUAAAGUAAUUUUCUACUAACAAUUUUAAUCAAAUGUAUUAAUCAUAUUUCUAUGCUUAGUGAUGUUAAAUAAAAAUUUAAAAGGUGGCAAUCAAUAAACAGAGAUAAAAGCUUCUCAAGAAUAAAUGAAAGGAAGUAAUAAAAAGACUCACUAAGCUGAAUUGCCUCCUAUCAACAGCAGCUGAUAAAAUAUUAAAAGAUUUGCCUUGUGUAAUGUCUCUGGAGAGCUGUCUUACUGAUGUACGAGGCCAUGAUUGACAACUUUGAGACUUUGCUGGAAGCGACAAAAGUAUAUCUAUAAUAUUAUGCUGAAUUGCAUAGGUCUUUCUUCUUAAAUGAGGCUAGAAAUAACAUACCACCAAGUGUUUGGCUUUUAGGAAAUUGAGCAUUUUCUUUAGUUCUAGCUGCAGUUUAAUUUCCUCAGAAUUAGACAUUAUGCGGUAUCUGGAACGUUAAAAAAAAAAAAAAGCAAAAA
ensembl:lncRNA LINC01473 long intergenic non-protein coding RNA 1473